rnacentral:tRNA from 1 species
UAAAAAGUACCUCACUCUUAGAGGGGUACCCUGAUACAGUAGACGUAUCAACGCCUUUUUAU